rnacentral:rRNA from 1 species
CAGCAGCCGCGGGAAUACAGAGGGUGCGAGCGUUAAUCGGAUUUACUGGGCGUAAAGCGUGCGUAGGCGGCUUCUUAAGUCGGAUGUGAAAUCCCUGAGCUUAACUUAGGAAUUGCAUUCGAUACUGGUAAGCUAGAGUAUGGGAGAGGAUGGUAGAAUUCCAGGUGUAGCGGUGAAAUGCGUAGAGAUCUGUAGGAAUACCGAUGGCGAAGGCAGCCAUCUGGCCUAAUACUGACGCUGAGGUACGAAAGCAUGGGGAGCAAACAGGAUUAGAUACCCCCGUAGUCCCUGUCUCUUAUAC